AUACCACCACAUCUGGUCUACAAAACAUAGAUUCUCCUCCUUGGAGAAAGUUAAUCAGCAUUUAAGAGGAAAGGUGACAGUCCAGGCGCUGGGAUCUGGGAAAAGCAGAGGGCCGGCCUGUGACGUGGAUGAGGCCUCCUUCUGGAGGCUGCAGAGUCCCAGGCAAGGGAGCCUCUGCCGACGGCCUCAUCCAAAAAGGGCAGCGAGCCGUGGAAUGGGCAGAUCUGGCACGAAGUCUCGGAACCUUCACCAGGACCAUACCCCUCUUCCAGGUCCUUACCUGUGGUGUUGGAAGGGCGGGUUCUGACAGGAAGUGUUAAUGAGCUCAUAGGAAGAAAUUAGAUAUUAUAGAGCAUGAGAUUUAAAUAACUGAACAACAAUGUACUGCACCUCUUCGUGAUGUACAAUGCUUUGGCAGGUAGGCACCUGUGCUCAAGCAACAGAUGCCACACGGGUUUGCACGUGUUAUUUGGGUAGGCACUCAAUUUAGGCUGGGUACUCAAUGCAUCCAAAAUUUCAGAGAACUGACUCUUCCAGGGAUGACUCAGUGUUUUCUACUGAAAGGCACUGGUGGCCACAUGGUCAACAACCCUUCAUAAAUCUGUCCCAGACAGAGGCCAGUCUGUGUAACAAAGCAUGAACGAGUGAGCGAGUGAGCAAACGAGUGGACAGAGGAACGCAGGCGCUCUGGCCCAGAACACUGCCCACCCCGGCAGCCCACCCCCGCGCCUAUGUCUGUGGAUGGCACAGGGCCAUGAGGGUUCCUCUGCCCUCUGUUGCCCCCAGAAUAGUGACUGGGGACUGAGAGCUGGACAUCUGUGCGCGGCAGCCCUGGUGCUUUCCAGCCACGAGUGAAAAGCUGCGAAGAAGCGCCAGCCCUGUGACACCGCCCAUCUCACCUGCCUCCCCAGGGCCACACACACGCCACCUCCUUCUCUGGUUUCCCUGCCAAGACUUAACGCAAUUAUCUUCUUCAAAGGCUACCCUAUGAUUCUGGCAUUCUCGGACUGGGGGAGCACGUUCGGCUUCAUAUUAUCAUGGCCUCUCUGGACACAGAAUGCGUAGUGCACAGUAGAGAAGUCCAAGGCAGGUACCACAUACCCACCUGGCUGCACAGGCUAUUUAAAAGAGCUGGAAUAAAGUGGAGGAGCAAAACCAAAUUCUGGAGGAGGAAACCCUAGAGGCAGACCGGGCACAGGACGCACCCAAGGGCUGCAGAACAGGCUGUUCCAAAGAGUGGAGGUGGGACCUCAGAGGGUGGGAAGGAGCCUUGCUGAGCUCACACGAGGGCCUCCACGCCCACAGCCGUCCCCACCCCGCAAUCCUAUACGUACUGGGCUCCUGGACACGCUGCCUUCAACCUCCUUUCCUUAUUUCCCCAUUCCCUGCCCUCUGUAACUGACUGUCCCCAACAGCUUCCUCUUCCCUUAACUGGUCCUGGGUAUCAGCAAACACUCUGAAGGUCUGGUUCCUUCAGUAACUUCUAGUGCUCUUGAGAUGAUGCCCUAUUUUGCAUGCCUAUAACGGUGCAGAAUACAAACAGGGUACAGAAUACAAACAGGGUAUAUUUAAGAGAAAGUUAAUAAAAACAUCUUAGUAAUUUUAGAUAUUGCCACACCAUGUAACGUUUAAUGGCAAUCACCCUUUAAGGAAGCCAAUAAACCACCAAGGGAGGAGCAGCCACUCUGUGUAGUUCACAGGCAGUCAGGCUACUGGAGGGAAGGACAGGGACGGAGAGGGCGGACUUGUCGUUAUGUAACUGUAAGCACUCAACUCGAUGGCUUCUCCCUAGGCUACAGCGCAGGGCCUAUGGACCUUCUCCAGUAGGCCCACCAUUUUCAGCCACACACUUUUAAUUCUCUUUGUUAAUAAGCACAGAUAACUAAGCAAUUGUUUCCUUAAAAAACCAAAGUCUAGCUGGCUUUAAUUGAUAAAUUGCCUUAGAAAUUUCUCAAGUUUCUGAAGAUGAAUUCAGAAAAAAGCUACACUAAAGAUACUAGAGAUUUUAUACUUAUUUAUUUUUUGAUUUUAAAAGCGAAUACUGAAAAGUUAGCCAAAAAAAAGCUGAUUAUGGAAAAGUCUAAAACUAGAGAAAAAAGGAAGAAAAUAAUUAUAUACAGUCUGCCCUUCCAAAGAUAAUCACCAUUAACGCUUGUGGGUACUUCCUUUCAAGUUUUUUACUGUCAAAGAUUUAUGGUUUUCAUAGAAAAAGAGAUGAGAUUUGUGGUUACCAGAGUCGGAGGGUGGAGGGGAGGGGAAAUGGAAUAAAGGUGUCACAGGCACAAACGUCCAGGGGUCAGAUGAACAAGUACUGGAGACGUCAUGUACAGCACCGACUGUAGCUCACACUGCUGUACAUUUUCGGGAAAGUUGUGAAGUAAAUCCUGAGAGUUCUGAACAUCACGAGGAGAAUUUCUUUCCUUUUCUGUCCUUCUUUUUAUUCUGUCUAUGAGAAGACGGUGUUAACGGAACUCGCUGUGGUAAUCAUUUCGACAUAUAUAAACUGAACCAUCACGCUGUCCACCUUCAAUUUAUACAGUGACAUUAAGUCAAUUAUUUCUCAAUAAAACUGGGGAAAAGAUGUAGUGUUUUUAAAUUUUUAACAUGGUUAUGAUCGAAACUAAUUUCAAAUCAAUUUUGCACUUAAAAUUAUGACAUUAGUGUUGUUCCCUACUGCUGUGCAGUCUUCAAAAACGGCAUUCCGGUGUGGAUAUGCUGUCAUUCCUUUAGCCACUCUCUUCACCAUGCAGUAUUAGCUCCUUAUGUGCCUUCCCUAACAUAAACGUGGCUGCAAUGUGCACUUUUGUUCACCAAGCUCUUGCUGCCUUGGGGAUUACUUCCCGAGGACAGACUUGUAGAAUCGUAACCACUUGGGACAAAUAGCACAGGCAGUUUUAAAGCUUUCGGUGCCUUCUGCCACCUGCUAACCACAACAGUUAGGCCGACCAAGAAGUUACAAGCUAUCUGUUUCACUCCCCUCUUGUCAGCAAUGGUUGCUAUUAAAUCAAAACAAAACAAGGUUAUACCGGAACCUCCCAGAAGUACAAACAAAUUAAAAUUUAUUUAAACCAUUUACGAUGAAGAUUUGAAAACAUAUACAAAAGUUAAGUGAGAAAGUAUAGACCUCCAGGGACCUAUCCUGACCGCACCAAUUACAACUCCAGGCACAUCUUGUUCUACCUCCGCCCCCACCUGCUUUUCCCUUCCUGAAUUCUUUUGAAACAAGCAACAGCCAUGGUACCAUUUCACCUGUAAAUGCUUAUCUGUAUCUCUAAAAGGUAAGGGCUCUGAAAACACAAGCACAAGACUGAGAUGCCAUCCCACACCUAAGAGAAAACAAAUUCUCCAACACCCAUGCUGUGGUUCAGUGUUCAAAUUUCCAACUCUCAGAAAUGUCACUUUUUACUUUUUUAUAUUUGAAGAUCUAAUUGGUUUUAAGUGGUUCAUGAAUUGGGCAGCGUUCCACCUAGAAGAGAGAUGCUCCUAAAUGCCACUUUUAAAAAAUUUGGCUUGUAUCACGAUCUGAAUAUCGUCCACAUGAAGGGACUGGCUAACGAGUCUCCUGACCUACAGGUAUCCCUCUGUCCCCUCUCCCAUUUAUCUGCUGAAGAAACCAGGUCAUCUUUUCUGUAGGGUUUUCCACGGUCUGGAUUCUGCUGAUGGAUCCCUGUGGUAUACUUCACUCGUUCCUCCUCACUCUGUACUUCCCGUAAAUUGGUAAUUAGAUGAGACUCAGGCUUGAUUUCCUUUGGGGGGUGGGCGAGGGUGCUACAGUCACAGGAGGUCGGUGCCUCAGUACAUGCUGCUGGCAGCUGCUGACCCAUUAAUUCACCAGGGGUUACAGCUGGUCGUAUCCCAAGGAGGUCAUUACGUCUUCAUUUAUUAGCUGGAACUCUUUAUAAAGAAAAACCUCCCCCUCAUAUACUACUUGGUUACUCAGUGGUAGAGUUGAUUAUACAGGAAAGACAGUAUAAAUGCUCUAUUCUUUCCCUUUACCAGUUUUUAAAACAAUGUGUCAGCUCACUAGUUUUUUCCUCUCAACAUUAUUGCAAGCUCAUGGAUCUAAACAUACUUGAUUUUUUAAAUCUGAUGCAAUUAUUAUUCUUACUGAUGCUCAAGCUGUCCUGUCUGCAGCCGGUGUGGGCAUUUCCCGGUUGAGCCCUUCGUCAUAACCCUGGUCUCUGCGGUGGCUUCCUUGCUCUCUGGCACGGGACCUUCCAGGCUUGUUCACACAACUCCUGCCUGAGGUCAUGGAGCCACUUUCUCCGGCGGCCCUGGGGUUUUCAGUUGG